UGAGGAAUAUUGCGCAAUGGGCGAAAGCCUGACGCAGCGACGCCGCGUGAAGGAUGAAGGCUCUAGGGUUGUAAACUUCUGUUAAGUGGGAAAAAAGACUUGUCUAUAAUACAUUCAAGUUAUGAUUGUACCAUUAAAGAAAGCACCGGCUAACUUCGUGCCAGCAGCCGCGGUAAUACGAGGGGUGCAAGCGUUAUUCGGAAUAAUUGGGCGUAAAGGGUGCGUAGACGGCAUAUUAAGUCAACUGUUACAUUCUCCAGCCUAACUGGAGGCCUGCAGUAGAUACUGGUUUGCUAGAGGUUGGAAGAGAGAAGUAGAAUUCUCGGAGUAGCGGUAAAAUGCGUAGAUCUCGAGAGGAAUACCGAUGGCGAAGGCAGCUUCUUGGUCCACACCUGACGUU
rnacentral:rRNA from 1 species